rnacentral:rRNA from 1 species
UAGGGAAUCUUCGGCAAUGGACGGAAGUCUGACCGAGCAACGCCGCGUGAGUGAAGAAGGUUUUCGGAUCGUAAAGCUCUGUUGUUAGAGAAGAACGUUGGUAGGAGUGGAAAAUCUACCAAGUGACUGUAACUAACCAGAAAGGGACGGCUAACUACGUGCCAGCAGCCGCGGUAAUACGUAGGUCCCGAGCGUUGUCCGGAUUUAUUGGGCGUAAAGCGAGCGCAGGCGGUUCUUUAAGUCUGAAGUUAAAGGCAGUGGCUUAACCAGUGUACGCUUUGGAAACUGGAGGACUUGAGUGCAGAAGGGGGGAGUGGAAUUCCAUGUGUAGCGGUGAAAUGCGUAGAUAUAUAGAGGAACAACGGUGGCGAAAGCGGCUCUCUGGUCUGUAACUGACGCUGAGGCUCGAAAGCGUGGGGAGCAAACAGG